rnacentral:rRNA from 1 species
GACGAACGCUGGCGGCGUGCUUAACACAUGCAAGUCGAACGGAAAGAGAUGAAAGAGCUUGCUCUUUUAUUAAUUUCAGUGGCAAACGGGUGAGUAACACGUAAACAACCUGCCUUAAGGAUGGGGAUAACAGACGGAAACGACUGCUAAUACCGAAUACGUUCUAAGCAUCGCAUGAUGCAUAGAAGAAAGGGUGGCCUCUACAAGAAAGCUAUCGCCUUAAGAGGGGUUUGCGACUGAUUAGGUAGUUGGUGAGGUAACGGCUCACCAAGCCGACGAUCAGUAGCCGGUCUGAGAGGAUGAACGGCCACACUGGAACUGAGACACGGUCCAGACUCCUACGGGAGGCAGCAGUGGGGAAUCUUCCGCAAUGGACGAAAGUCUGACGGAGCAACGCCGCGUGAACGAAGAAGGUCUUCGGAUUGUAAAGUUCUGUGAUUCGGGACGAAAGGGUUUGUGGUGAAUAAUCAUAGACAUUGACGGUACCGAAAAAGCAAGCCACGGCUAA